AGUGAACGCUGGCGGUAGGCCUAACACAUGCAAGUCGAACGGCAGCACAGUAAGAGCUUGCUCUUACGGGUGGCGAGUGGCGGACGGGUGAGGAAUACAUCGGAAUCUACUUUUUCGUGGGGGAUAACGUAGGGAAACUUACGCUAAUACCGCAUACGACCUACGGGUGAAAGCAGGGGAUCUUCGGACCUUGCGCGAUUGAAUGAGCCGAUGUCGGAUUAGCUAGUUGGCGGGGUAAAGGCCCACCAAGGCGACGAUCCGUAGCUGGUCUGGGAGGAUGAUCAGCCACACUGGAACUGAGACACGGUCCAGACUCCUACGGGAGGCAGCAGUGGGGAAUAUUGGACAAUGGGCGCAAGCCUGAUCCAGCCAUACCGCGUGGGUGAAGAAGGCCUUCGGGUUGUAAAGCCCUUUUGUUGGGAAAGAAAAGCAGCAGGCUAAUACCCCGCUGUUCUGACGGUACCCAAAGAAUAAGCACCGGCUAACUUCGUG
rnacentral:rRNA from 1 species